rnacentral:tRNA from 1 species
UAUACUUUGGUGUAAGUUGCACUUGAAAUUUUGAAUUUCACGGAUUAGUUAAAUUCUAAAUAGUAUAA